AGGAAAGAAGAGGGACAGGGAAGCUAGGGCGACUGAGGAUACGCCGAGGUCUAGUCCGGCUUGGCAGCGCGAGCUAGAGAGCUUUGCGAGCCGCGGGGCUGGGAAGUCAGGGCAUAGGGGCCAGGCCUGCCCUCUGGUGCUUUCGGCUCCUCGGGCCCCCGACUUUAAAGUGCUCAAGUUGGGGUCGGCGCCAUCAUGACGCCUGAGACUGUGAGAAGAAAAAGUUACAAGUGAUAGAAGAACUAACCCACUCAGGAGCCCAAAGAAAGGAACAGAACUUCUAGUGUGAGAUGCUGAGACUGCCUCACUGUGAAAGAUGUUCCCUGUCCAUUCUGAUAAGAGGGGAACUGCACAGCUUGGAUUGAUUCAUGUCUCUUGCUUGGAUCCUUCAACAUCUGACUACAGUGCAGGAAAUAUGACAGGACAGCAUGAGCCGGAAUCAACUGUAUCAUCGGAAUAUGUAUUUUAGCAACUGACUCUCUUAUGAAAGCAACAGUAAAUUAACAGUGUUCCAGGGUCAAACAACUCAAGAUUCUGUCAGUAAUUAGUUGUUGUGUUGUAUUCAUUAACUUGACUAUCCUGAAGAUUACCAUGACAGCUGGAUUCUGAGUGAGUUCUUCAGGUUGCUUGAGGAAAGACUAACAUCUGAGUCAGUGAGCAUUAUGUCUGACUCUUGGAUAUCAUCUGUAACCCUAUUCCAUUGACAGUGAAUAACACUGAAUUCAAUUAAAAUCUGACCCAAACAAUAAGGAGCCUAAAAGUUACUGGCUGUCUACAUGAAAAACAAAUUAGGAACUCAGUAGGAAAAGACACUUGCCUCCUAACCUGACCACCAGGGUUCUAUCCCCUAGACCAGCAUGGUUGAAGAGAAGACAAAUUCCCAUAAGGUCUCCUCUGGCUUCCACACUGUCCUCAGGGUCUGCAUCUGGCCACACAUACACACAUUACCUAAUUCAAUCUUUCAUUAAUAAAGUUCCAAUAAAAGAAGUAAGCAA
rnacentral:lncRNA from 1 species